ACGCAGCAAUGCGUGGCACACGGCUCAGUAACACGUAGUCAACAUGCCCAGGGGACGUGGAUAACCUCGGGAAACUGAGGAUAAACCGCGAUAGGCCAAGGUUUCUGGAAUGGACAAUGGCUGAAACCUAUAUGGCCCCUGGAUUGGACUGCGGCCGAUCAGGCUGUUGGUGAGGUAAUGGCCCACCAAACCUGUAACCGGUACGGGCUCUGAGAGGAGGAGCCCGGAGAUGGGCACUGAGACAAGGGCCCAGGCCCUAUGGGGCGCAGCAGGCGCGAAACCUCUGCAAUAGGCGAAAGCUUGACAGGGUUACUCUGAGUGAUGUCCGUUAAGGGCAUCUUUUGGCACCUCUAAAAAUGGUGCAGAAUAAGGGGUGGGCAAGUCUGGUGUCAGCCGCCGCGGUAAUACCAGCACCCCGAGUGGUCGGGACGAUUAUUGGGCCUAAAGCAUCCGUAGCCGGUUCUGCAAGUCUUCCGUUAAAUCCACCUGCUCAACAGAUGGGCUGCGGAGGAUACUACAGGGCUAGGAGGCGGGAGAGGCAAGCGGUACUCAGUGGGUAGGGGUAAAAUCCUCUGAUCCACUGAAGACCACCAGUGGCGAAGGCGGCUUGCCAGAACGCGCUCGACGGUGAGGGAUGAAAGCUGGGGGAGCAAACCGGAUUAGAUACCCGGGUAGUCCCAGCUGUAAACGAUGCAGACUCGGUGACGGGUUGGCUUUGAGCCAACCCAGUGCCGCAGGGAA
rnacentral:rRNA from 1 species